rnacentral:rRNA from 1 species
CGAUAGCGUAUAUUAAAGUUGUUGCAGUUAAAAAGCUCGUAGUUGGAUCUGUGGUGUGCGGUGGGCUCCGGGCACUUGUUGUCUGAGUAGCUCGCCGCUGCCAUCCUUGGGUGGAACCUGUGUGGCAUUAGGUUGUCGUGCAGGGGAUGCCCAUCGUUUACUGUGAAAAAAUUAGAGUGUUCAAAGCAGGCUUAUGCCGUUGAAUAUAUUAGCAUGGAAUAAUGAGAUAGGACUUUUUCGCUAUUUUGUUGGUUUGCGCGAAGAGGUAAUGAUUAAUAGGGACAGUUGGGGGUAUUCGUAUUCCAUUGUCAGAGGUGAAAUUCUUGGAUUUUUGGAAGACGAACUACUGCGAAAGCAUUUACCAAGGAUGUUUUCAUUAA